AUAUUUUCAUAUACCAUUGGGAAACACAACUUAUGCAGAGUGAAGUCCGGUGUAACUCCGGCACUGUCGCGCAACGGUAACCCUUCGGCAAGCUCAGGGCAAGUCCUGAGUAGUCAAAGAGGAGUCCGACCCUCUGCAAUGCGAAUGAU
rnacentral:ncRNA from 1 species